CUCUUCUCGCUUCUUCUUUCCACCACCACCCCACUCUCUUGCCCUUUGCUGCUUUUCACACUCUUGUGUUUUCCAUCGGACCAUCGUCUGAAGCAAACGCGUCCGCCCCCCCCCCCCCCCCGCCCGGACGAAAGAAAACAUCUCACCACACCUUUCCUCUUUGCGUCUUACCUUUCCCUUGUUUCAGAGGAUUGCGUUCCCUCAUUGUUCUUGCGCAUCUGACGCCAUCUGAAUCCCCUUCUUCGGUGCAGUGCAACAACGAAAAAGAAAAAUAGCCUGAAGCUAUCAACUCGCCGAUUCUCAUUUUUCUCCUCUUCGGCCUUUCCACAUCCAAGCCCGCCGACCCAAUAUGCCGCAAAAGACGAUGAAGAAGGAAAACGCGACCGUUAUUGAGGGCUCGCCUGGUAAGGGGGUGAGUGGGGGUUCUCCGUACAGAAACGCCGAGGCAUUGCCGACAGUGGGUGCCCGUGGUUGUAUGCCACCGCAGCGCUCCAGCAAGCGCAUGCUGAACCAGGAGAUCAGUCUUCUGAUGCUGAUACUCGCCGCCCAGACGAUCACCGGCAUGGUCAACAUUCAGGACAGCGUGCUGAGCACUGAGCUGGUGGCCGAUUCGCACAGCUUCCGCGGACGCCCUUCGCUGAAGAAUGAGAGCCAUUCUUCCUCCUCGUACUACUCGUCUGCGUCGUCAGACAAGCACGUGCCUUUCAUGGACAUGUCUGAGGGCAUUUCCUCCUCCACCGCGGGCUCUCAUGCCAGCGAGAACUUCGACGACGACGGUGACGAGGAGGAGGAGGUCGUCGCCUACCGCUUCGCUUCGCAGCUCACGGCGCCGCUCCGCUCCAAGACGUACUUCACUCACAACGAGGACGUUUGGGAGAACAUCUUCAGCUUCUUACCCUGGGAGGCUGCGAUGCAGGUGCGCGGCGUGAGCCGUUUCCAUUUCCGCCAGUCUUUGCCGCGCGUCACGGUUGCCCGCAUGCCGCAGAGCAAGGUACCGGCCAUCUUCAUUCCCUGCCUGGAGGAUCUCGACAGCAACGAGAUGGAGAUCGAGGCAGAGCUGGCCCCGCAGCACCAGACACCGUGGUCGUGCCCGCACUGCUGCCUCUUCAACGCACACGGGGCCGUGUGCGGCAACAACCGCUGCCAGCAGCCUCGCCCGCAGAGCGGUCGGCGCCUCUUUCUCGGUCAGCUGCGCCGCACCGGCACGGUGCCCAUGGUGCGUUGGCUGGUGAAAAACGUCUUUAACGCCUCGGCUGGUGCACUGGUGUCAGUGGAGAACCGCCGCAACACCCACACACAGCGUGGCAAGGGCUGCGCGUGGCCCACAAUCAACGACGAAGUCACCGUGAAGCGGAUGCUCGAUGCGCAUCAUCGUCUCUUCUUUGACUCGGUGAACGGCGUGGAGGGUGUAUGGCUGGUACCGGAGGGACGCGAGAAGGCGCUGCAGUCGGAGGUGUCGAUGCGGUACAACGGCGGCGCUCAUCAGAAGCACAUGCCACGCGGCACGAUUGUCGUGGAAACCCCAUCGACUCCGUUUUUUGUUGCAGGGCCUGCUGCGGCGCCCUUGAGCAGCGCCAAGGGAAAGGAUGUGGAUGCCACAGAGGACAUUCACGGGGACAGGGUGCGCAGUGCUACCGGUCUGUCGUACUCCGCUGCCACCCAGUCGAGUCGCUCAGACUCGAGCUACCACCCGACGAGCACCCCGCUUCCUCCUUACCAGUCCAAACAGGAAGCGCACCCCGCGACAGUGGAUACCGCUGUUGAGUACUACGGGUACAACGACGCGGCCAGCUUCAUGCCGUACUGCAUUCCCGGCGUAGACUUUGUGCGCCCUGGUGUGUACCGCCUGAACCCCUAUACGGUUUUCAUGUAGUCGUGAGGAGAGGCUAUGUGCGUGCGUUGCGUGCGCACGCGAGUGUGUGUGUGUGUGUGUCUUUGUCGGUACACUGAGAGGUGGAGAGGGGCGUCACUCUCCCGCCCACCUUUUCUAUUCUAAUCUGUUUUCUCUCUAACUACUCGUAUUUUUUUUUGUGUUUCGCCUGUGCUUCCUUUUUCUCCACCUCUAUGUGUCCUAUUUCAGCAAGUGCCUCGGACGGGAUGGCGGUGCACGCUUCGGCCUUUAGCGUUUUUCUCCACCCCUCCCCCGCCGCGAAAAAAAGAGUUCAGCGUUAUUUUCGUAGGAGGGGGGGGGGAAGCUGCGUGCAUGUGCAGGCAAAUCUUCAGUGUUUAAAGGGGAGAAGAGGGGGGGGGGGCAAAAUAAAAGGAAAGACCAAAGGGCUGAGCAUGAAGGCCAACCGCAGUGACAUAUCGGCGCUGCAAACAAACGCACAGAAGCCAGCGGGGCUUGUGUACAGAAAUACUGCGACAAACACAGCCCCCUUCUCCAUCUUCCUCCGCCUCCCCUUUCUACGACUACUGUACCAGCAGCGGCGUUCAUCUUACACUGACGCUUUACUUUCUUUUCGUGUUGCUUUUCACUGGAUCGAGCAUCUCACCUCCCGUGCCGCGUUGCCCUUUGGCUUCAUCGUGCUUCCCUUGCCUUCUGUGUUUUUUUUUUUUGUCUUUUGGUCUUGUUGGAUAUGCGCUUGUAUGCCUCUCUGUGUGAACGUUUAUGUAUCUUGUCCUACCUCUCUCAUUUUUUUUUUUGCUUCUUCUGUGCUGCAGCUCACACACCCACGAACACCAACACAUACCCCCCUCACCCCUCCACAUGUACGGUCACACGUGCAAGAUUUGGACCUUCAAAGGAUCGUGUAUGCUUGACCUCACUUUCUUCUUUGCCGUCUCUCAGAUCGCUGUAUUUCUUUUUUUUUUUCGCCCCUUCGUUUCACUGUUUCUGUUCCCCCCUUUUUCGGCUUGUUUUGCGUCUUGCCCGAGGCUCGUACUGCAUUGAAAAUGUGUUUCUUUUGCCUUUUUUGUGUUUUCGCUGUCCGAGGCUAUCCGAGUCGUCCAACUGCACUGGCAGUGGUAUUCGAACAUACACAAGCACAUGUGCACGAGCACAUGUCUACAAACAGGCACGCAACAGCAUCUUUCUGUUGUCAUCCAUGCGACGAUCCACGCUCGUUGGAGUUGCGUGCCAUGCUUCUAUGCUGUCAUGUGCCUCUGUGUAUUUGUGUAGCGUGUGCGAUCGUACAUGUGCUACGUUUCGCUUGGUCUCUCGCUCACGUCGACUGCUGUUUCUUUCUUUCCUCCCGGCCUGUUUCUUUUUUGCCUGCUCAUGUGUUUUGUGCCCGUGCCUCGACACAAAAUGAAGAAGGCUAAACAGUGCCGCCAAUGAAAGCGAGCAUGGCAUAUUGAGAAAGGAAAAUCAAGAAAAAGGAGAUAAAGUACAUGAACUUUGAAACCAGAAGCAGCGCCAAGUGUGUCUCGAUUUUGCUCUCUGUGAAUCUGUGCUCGCAUACAUGUGUGGCUGUAUGCACGUCUGUGAACUCGAGACCGCUAAAGAGUCAGGAGACCAGAGACGAAAUGACAUUACACAGUGACCGCCGAUUCACGAUUAUAAUCAACGGCCGUAAGGGGAGAAAGGGAGCCUAUUUUGUGUGUGUGUGUGUAUGUGUGUGUGUGUGUGUGUCUACGCUUGCGCUAAAGAGAAGGAAGCACAUAACCAUGUGCAUGUUAAGACAUUUUUACUGCUUCCUCUCCGUCUUCCUUCUUCGUCUUCCUCUUUCCUCUGACUCUUCCCCCUGUCUUCUCCCUUUUUUGGUCUCGUUUCGAAGCAGCAAACAAGAAAGAACACAUGCACACACAUGCACGCAUCUCACCUUCGUAGAAAGACACACAGACCGAAAAAAAAAACACGGGAGCAAGCCUCUCUCUCUUUCUAUUUUUGUUGCUGUCUAUUGAUAUGUGUGCGUGCGUGUGAGCGAAGGAGUGUCAGGUGAGUGCGUACGUGUAGCACCCCUCUUCUUCUGUUGUGACCCUCGUCGUGUCUGUUUUUUUUCUUUCGCUCCUUCUCAUUCUCUUUGUCCCCUUCUUUUCCGCUCGCUUUGCCCCCCCCCCCCCUUCAACGAGACAAAGAGAGGGGGGCAUGUACGCACCACCAUCCCCCCCCCCUCCCCCCUCCCCAAAGCGGCAUACCUUUCUCCCUCCUGCCUUGCACACACACACACACACACACAUACACAUACACAGAUGUGCAGACGCACAUCUACCCAAGCACGCGCGUGCUCGCAUAUGUAGUGCACAAUGAAAGGCGGCAGCGUGUUCUUCCCCUCUCUAUCACUCAGACUGUCCCAUUUUCUUUCCCUGUGCUGACUUAGUCUCUCUCGUUCUCCCUCAUACUUCGUGUGCGGUGCGGUUCAUGUUCUCCUUCUUUGGCCUUUUUUGUCUCUCCUCGAUUCCUUUUUUUCUCCAUUGAAGCGAUUGCGCCUCUCCCCCCUUCUCGCCCUCUCUUUCUGUCAAACAUUUUCGGCUUGUGUUCACUGCCUGUUGUUGUGGCGGUGUUUCCUCUCGUAAGUAUGCGAAGGAGUGGGAUGCGCUUUCUUUUUUCGUUCUCCUUGUUCUUCCUCUUCUGAUGCGUUUUCGUGUUUAUUUUUGGCUUGUUUCCCAUGCUGAUUGCUUUCAAUUUUUCUCUUGCCUCCUUGUCUUUUCCCCUGUUUCGACUCUACCACCAAAUUACAGUGCUUUCUUUUUUUUUUUUCAGUGCACCUGCGACGAAAGAAGCGAUG
rnacentral:misc_RNA from 1 species